AUGGAAGAGAGUUCAGCUUAGUGGCGAACGGGUGAGUAACACGUGAGCAACCUGCCUUUCAGUGGGGGACAACAUUUGGAAACGAAUGCUAAUACCGCAUAAGACCACGACCUGGCAUCGGGAUGAGGUCAAAGAUUUAUCGCUGAAAGAGGGGUUCGCGUCCCAUUAGGUAGUUGGUGAGAUAACAGCCCACCAAGCCGACGAUGGGUAGCCGAGCUGAGAGGCUGAUCGGCCACACUGGAACUGAGACACGGUCCAGACUCC
rnacentral:rRNA from 1 species